AUGCAAGUAGAACGUUGAAGGAGGAGCUUGCUUCUCUGGAUGAGUUGCGAACGGGUGAGUAACGCGUAGGUAACCUGCCUGGUAGCGGGGGAUAACUAUUGGAAACGAUAGCUAAUACCGCAUAAGAGUAGAUGUUGCAUGACAUUUGCUUAAAAGGUGCAAUUGCAUCACUACCAGAUGGACCUGCGUUGUAUUAGCUAGUUGGUGGGGUAACGGCUCACCAAGGCGACGAUACAUAGCCGACCUGAGAGGGUGAUCGGCCGCACUGGGACUGAGACACGGCCCAGACUCCUACGGGAGGCAGCAGUAGGGAAUCUUCGGCAAUGGACGGAAGUCUGACCGAGCAACGCCGCGUGAGUGAAGAAGGUUUUCGGAUCGUAAAGCUCUGUUGUAAGAGAAGAACGAGUGUGAGAGUGGAAAGUUCACACUGUGACGGUAUCUUACCAGAAAGGGACGGCUAACUACGUGCCAGCAGCCGCGGUAAUACGUAGGUCCUGAGCGUUGUCCGGAUUUAUUGGGCGUAAAGCGAGCGCAGGCGGUUAGAUAAGUCUGAAGUUAAAGGCUGUGGCUUAACCAUAGUACGCUUUGGAAACUGUUUAACUUGAGUGCAAGAGGGGAGAGUGGAAUUCCAUGUGUAGCGGUGAAAUGCGUAGAUAUAUGGAGGAACACCGGUGGCGAAAGCGGCUCUCUGGCUUGUAACUGACGCUGAGGCUCGAAGCGUGGGGAGCAA
rnacentral:rRNA from 1 species